CUACGUGCCAGCAGCCGCGGUAAUACGUAUGUCGCAAGCGUUAUCCGGAAUUAUUGGGCUUAAAGGGCAUCUAGGCGGUAUAACAAGUUGAAGGUGAAAAGCUGUAGCUCAACUAUAGUCUUGCCUACAAAACUGUAAUACUAGAGUACUGGAAAGGUGGGUGGAACUACACGAGUAGAGGUGAAAUUCGCAGAUAUGUGUAGGAAUGCCGAUGAUGAAGAUAACUCACUGGACAGAAACUGACGCUGAAGUGCGAAAGCUAGGGGAGCAAACAGGAUUAGAUACCCUGGUAGUCCUAGCUGUAAACGAUGAUUACUGGGUGUGGGGAUGAGAAGUCUCUGUGCCGAAGCAAAAGCGAUAAGUAAUCCGCCUGGGGAGUACGUUCGCAAGAAUGAAACUCAAAGGAAUUGACGGGGGCCCGCACAAGUGGUGGAGCAUGUGGUUUAAUUCGACGCAACGCGAGGAACCUUACCAGACCUUGACAUCGC
rnacentral:rRNA from 1 species